UAUACAUGAAAGGGAUAUACAUGUCUGCUUUCUACCCCUCUCUCUCAUCUCAGAUCUAGUUUGAUAAAUUUCAGGUGAAUUUUGAUUCGUCGCGUGUUUUGGAGGCAAACUCAAUGAAUAAAGAUUACACAGUGAUUUCUCCUCUCAAAAAGGCGUCCAAUGUUGCAAGGAAGAUUGAAAUCUGCAGAGAUUACUCUGUUGCUGACUAUCUUACAAGACAAAUCAAAGCAGAAUCAUAACGUGAUGACCGCCUCACUGAUUCAACAGAGAAAAGAUUAACAAUCGAUUCAAAUUAGAAUUCACAUUGGCUGAUUGAAAAUCAAAUCAAUGUUUUCGGGAAACUUUAUGGGAGUGCAUUCAAAUUUUGUAGAGUCUAACUUUUCAUAAACAUGUAUUGAUUUUUACUGGAAUUUGUUUGUGGUCGAUAAUUGUAGACCAUGAAAAUGGAACAAAAUCAAAUCAAUUGUAUACACUGCUUCACAGUUUGGGUAUGAAUUUCUAGUGCUUCAAACAUCAUUGUAAAUGGCUAUUUUAGAGGAAAGUCAUGGAAAAAUGUAACCCAUCAAGUGGAAGGUACUAGAUGCCCCAAAUAAAAUUGGUAUCCAUUAAAAUUACCAGAUUUAACCAGGUUGUAAGACUGUGUAUCUAAAUAGCUGGCUCUGGGUGUAUCUAGUUAUCAUCCAAAGGGAUUGAUUGCCAUUUUGAUACGGAUGGAUCACUGUAAAUCUGAUUUCCACCAAGAGGAAGUGAAAAUCAAAUGAAGAAGCCAAUUGAACUAAAAGUCUAGACAGGAAAUUAUUACGAGACAGGAAACUGUAAAUGCUCAUUCAAGUUGAAAUUUCAUCAACUUGCUGCUGGGUUUGCCUGAAUUUUGGAAUUUUCGUUGUUCAUAAUUCGAUAUGGAUACUGCCAAAAAGACUUGUUUCUCUGUCCUACUCUCUGUUUUUGUCCUUUUGAAUAAGCCUCUUGAUUCAUUUGCAGCUGGUACCUUCUCGGCGGGUGAGACUCUUAGCGGAAAUCAAACAAUUACGUCAAGAGAUGGCAACUUUAUGAUGGGAUUCUUCUCACCAGGUGAGUCUCGGAAUUAUUUCAUAGGUAUCUGGUAUAACUAUGAUAGGGUGUCGGUGCAGACAGUAGUUUCGGUGGCUAAUAGAGAGAAGCCGCUUAGUGAUCCAGAUUCUUCUGAACUCAAACUUUUAGCAAAUGGUAAUCUAGUUCUCUAUGGCCCGUCAAAUUCCUCAAUUUGGUCUACCAAUUCAACUUUAGGUACUUUUAAUACUACUGAAGCAGUUUUAGGUGAUGAUGGAAAUCUAGUUUUAAGAGAUAAGUCUGAUCCGUCUAUUGUACUCUGGCAGAGUUUUUAUUAUCCAACUGAUACUUGGUUACCUGGUGGGAAAAUUGGGCUCAAUAAGAAAGUUGGUGUAAAUAAGUUGCUUACUUCAUGGAGAAAUCAAGAAGAUCCAGCUACCCGAAUGUUCAACCUAGAACUAGACCCAACUGGAAUCAAUCAGUAUCUUAUAAGGUGGAACAAGUCCAUACAGGUCUGGACAAGUGGGGAAUGGAUUGAACGAGAAAAAUACUUCACGUUAAUUCCCCAGAUGAGAGGAAAUUACAUUUACAAUUUUAGUUACACUUCAAAUGAAAAUGAGAGUUAUGUUACUUAUAAUCUUUAUAAUAAAUCGGUUGUUGUGAGAAUGUUAAUGGAUGUUUCUGGGUUGAUGAAACAAUUUACAUGGUCAGAUACAGCCGAAAAAUGGAUUUUAUAUUGGACUCAACCGAAGCAUUUUUGUGAUGUUUAUGGUGUCUGUGGACCAUUUGGCAAUUGUAUCCAGGACACAUUGAAAUGUGAGUGUUUGCCUGGUUUCGUCGAACGAUCUCCUUCAGAUUGGAAUCUUCGGGAUUCAAGUGGUGGGUGUCUUAGGAAUACGUCUUUGCAAUGUGGGAGUAAAGAUAUUGGUUUUUCACCAAUUCGAAGCUCGAAAUUGCCUGAUGAUUCCCAGUCUCGACAAGUCAACAGUGCGGAAGAAUGCAAAUAAGCUUGCCAGAGUUCUUGUGCUUGCAAUGGUUAUGCGUAUGAGAACACAGUGUGUCAAAUAUGGCAGGGAGAUAUGAUGAAUGUAAGUCAACAAUCAGAUGGUAGAGCAGGGAAUCUAUAUCUCAAACGUGCAGAUUCGGAGUUUCUCACUGAAGUCAGAACGAGAAAGGUGGUAAUUUGGAAGAUCAUUGUUCCAGUAAUAAUCUCUUUGGUGGCAAUUAUCAUGGGUGUAUUAGGAUACAUGUAUUCGUGCAAGAGGAAUAAGGCUA